rnacentral:rRNA from 1 species
GACGAACGCUGGCGGCGCGCCUAACACAUGCAAGUCGAACGAGCAAAGAGGAGCUUGCUUCUCUGAGCGAGUGGCGAACGGGUGAGUAACGCGUGAGGAACCUGCCUCAAAGAGGGGGACAACAGUUGGAAACGACUGCUAAUACCGCAUAAGCCCACGGUGCCGCAUGGCACAGAGGGAAAAGGAGCAAUCCGCUUUGAGAUGGCCUCGCGUCCGAUUAGCUAGUUGGUGAGGUAACGGCCCACCAAGGCGACGAUCAGUAGCCGGCCUGAGAGGGUGAACGGCCACAUUGGGACUGAGACACGGCCCAAACUCCUACGGGAGGCAGCAGUGGGGAAUAUUGCACAAUGGGGGAAACCCUGAUGCAGCGACGCCGCGUGAGUGAUGAAGUAUUUCGGUAUGUAAAACUCUAUCAGCAGGGAAGAUAAUGACGGUACCUGACUAAGAAGCACCGGCUAAAUACGUGCCAGCAGCCGCGGU